rnacentral:lncRNA from 10 species
CUGUCUCAAACAAACAAACAAACAAACAAAUUAGAGUAGAAGGCAGAAUACCACAACAACUAAAGGAGGAGAUUGAUAGCCAUUAAUAAUGUUGACCUCAGAUGAGUGACAGAGUUUGGUUGCUCAUCUUCACAACACAGUGUUUAUGAAAGGGCUGAGCAAAGUGCCUGACCUAGAGCAAGCAUGCAACAAGUGUGUGGUAGGCAGAAUUCCUGGGUAGUCCCCAAGAUUCCUGCUCCCUGUUAUGCUCCUCUUGUGGAAUCCGCACACCUGGAAUGUGGGCACAGCUUGUGAAUGUGCUGAGGUUUCACUUUAGUAAGUUAGAUGUCAAAGGUGAAGGGAUUUUCAGAUGUAAUUAAGGUCCCAAAUUAGUUGAUUUUGUUGUUGUUGCUGUUUCUUUGAGACAUGGUCUCCCUCUGUCACCCAAGCUGGAGUGCAGUGGUGCAACUAUGGCUCACUGCAGCCUCGACCUCCUAGGUUCAGAAAAUCCUCCCACCUUAGCCUCCCCGGUAGCUGGGACUACAGGCACAAACCACUCUCCCUGCCUAAUUUUUGAAAAUUUUUUGUAGAUACAGGGUCUUGCUGUGUUGCCAGGGCUGGUCUUGAACUCCUGGGCUCAAGAAAUCCUCCCACCUAGGCCUCCCAAAGUGCCACGAUUACAGGCAUGAGACACUGUGCCUGGCCAAAUUAGUUGAUUUUGAGUUAAUCUAAUGGGACAUUAUACUGGGUGGGUCUCACUAAUCUAGGUUAAAGCCCUGAAAAGAGAGACUGGGCCCUUUCUGAAGAGAGAGAUUCUGUUGCUGGCUUUGAAGAAGCAAGCUACCACAAAUUCUACAGCUACAAGAAAAUAAAUUCUGCCAAGAACCAUGUGCACUUGGACAAGAACCCUGAGACCAAAGCCCCAGCCAACACUUUGUGAGACCCUGACCAGGGCACCCAGCUAAGUUGUGCUUAGACUACAGAAACCUGACCCAUGCAAGCUGUGAGAUAAUAAACGUGGAUUCUCUUCAGCUGCAAUAUUUGUGGAAAUUUGUUAUUCAGCAACAGAAAACUAAUACAAACUGGUAGACUCUCUUUUAAAAAUUACUUUACUUUAUUGUAGAAUAAUAGGAGAGAAUCGUGCCAGAUGAGACUCCACCACCCUGGCCCAUGAGAAGGGCCAUAUAGACAAGACAUUGGUUCAUCUGAAAUCAACUGACUGCUACCCAAUAAAAUAAAACACCAUUCUCCCAAUUCCAAUACAUUCUCCUGAGGAAAUAUCCACAUGCAACCUGGUG